GUUCGGUACCUAGUUGCAGAGAUUACUUCCUGCAAACAAACUUAAAAACUUUACCUCUUUAUAAUAUUAGUGUAGAUAAAAUUUCUUUACAAUAUUAAAAA